rnacentral:rRNA from 1 species
GACAGGAGGUGCCGAGCGUUAGGCGGAAUCACUGGGCUUAAAGCGUGUGUAGGCGGAUCGUUAAGUGCCUUGUGAAAAUCCCACGGCUCAACCGUGGAACUGCUUGGCAUACUGGCGAUCUUGAGCCACUUAGGGGCUACCGGAACAAAUGGUGGAGCGGUGAAAAUGCGUAGAUAUCAGGAGGAACACCGGUGGCGAAGGCGGUUCUCUGGGCAUGAUCUGACGCUGAGGAGCGAAAGUGUGGGGAGCGAACAGG